CUGGGCUUCUCUCAAGGGGAAAGAAAAUAUCCAGGGAUCGAAACUCUACAAAUUCAGCUCAGUCAAUGAAAACUGGAAGGAAGGUCGAAUCAGUCCUGAGCAAGAAGCUGAAAGAUUGGAAGACCCAGAUGAAGAUGAACCGAUAUCUAAAUUUUCCGGAAGCCUGUUUUCCUCGAAUGAGAGCAUUAGAAGCAAUGCAAGAACUCCACUUGGACCCGAGAGGCAGAAGAUUUCCACAAAACCCAAACGCUGCCCACCCACCAACCAUAAGCAGCAAGUUGCAAACCACGUUGCAACUGAGGGCAAAAAGGCUUCGAGGCAAAACAAGGACCGAAUCCCAGGCAGCUCAGAGGCCACCCAGCUGCUCUUGAAGGAUGUCCUUAUUUCUGAACCCAACACACAUGAUUCUGGUCCUGUUGACACCCCAUCAAAAAGUGGCCUAAUAAACCACGUCAAAACAUUUCAAGGGGCUGGUCUAUGUCAAGAAAUAUGGAAGAAAACUAGAACUCAGAGAGAUUAGAAACAAUCUAUACUGAAGACGGAGAGGCGUGAGAAUGGCAAAUUAGGAAACUCUGGUGCUAAUUAUUCACAAAAGCAGGAUUUUGUUUAAAAUCUUAUAAAGAAUAGAAACAAUCACAGAGAGAAAAAGGCCAAAUGAAUAGACAAGUUUCAGAAAAAGCAGAGGGAUAUGAAACCAGACAAGAAAUAUAAGAAGGAUGAUAAGAGAGUAAGACAAAAUGAUUGUAAUCAAUAAAGGGAAGAAGCUAAGUUUAUAACUUACAGUAAGUGUUCCUGGUUUGGCGAUCAUGCCAGAAGUGAAUUAAGGUUAAUGAUGAUUGACUUAAUGAUUAUCCUGCAGAACCUUUACAAUAACAGAGACACUAAAAACUAAAAUUGGAGAAAAUUGGUUCAGAAUAAAUAGGGCACUCAGACAAGAUGGGUGCUGUCCCCACUAUGUUUAUCUAAAAAGACGCUCAGAUUUAUGCUAUCAAAAGCCUCUGUGAAGUCAAGAUGACCCAGCAGAGUCAAACUUUCUUAGUUGAGCUCUAAAGAUCAUCCGUCAGGCCAACCGAGGGAUUUUCAUUUUUGUAGCCUUCCUGUACACAAUUAAAUAGUUCAAGAUAAUUACUUCCUUUAGGACUGUCUGAAGUUAAGAAACCACCACUUUUUCUAUCAAUUUACCCAACCACACUAGGUGAGAGAGUGGCUUAGAAUUGGGAUCCCAGGUAGACUUUUUAAGAAGCGGUUUAAUACUGUACAGUAAUUGCCUCAUGGGUGGUGUUCUGUUUAAUGAUACAUUUAUGUUUUGUUUAGGGUGUCUGCAAUUCAGGGGUGAAAUCCAGCAGGUUCUGACAGGUUCUGGAGAACCGGUAGCAGAAAUUUUGAGCAGUUCGGAGAACUGGCAAAUACCACCUCUGGCUGGCCCCAGAGUGGGGUGGGAAUGGAGAUUUUGCAAUAUCCUUCCCCCAGGAGUGGGGAGGGAAUGGGGAUUUUGCAGUAUCCUUCCCCUGCCAUGCCCACCAAGCCACGCCCACCAAGCCACACCCACAUAACCGUUAAUAAAAAAAACAACACUGCUGCAAUUACCUCCCAGCCAGAAGCCACAAACCAAACUGGACAAGUGGUGGAAUGUCCAUUCCACCUCCAUUCACCUUGCCCACAUCCUUAGAAGUCACAAAAACUUAAGUUGAUCCAGUCUAACUAUUCAAGACUGGCUUCAUAAUGAUGGGUUCUUCAACAGGCUGGACUGAAUAUGAAAGAUUUUAUUGAAAAAAUUACAAGCCUCUUAAAGGUCUGUAAGAGAGUGAGGCAGGGAUAUAAGUGACUUCCCUUAUAACCCCACUCAUCAAUUUGCAGAUGCAAUAUGAAAAAUAAUAUUUGCGGUUCCUACUGCCACAGCACAAAACUUCAAACAGGCUUUGUGUUGUGCCUUCUUAGUUUGAAUCUGUAAGGAGCCAAAAUACAAAAAACGUGUGAUAUGCAAAUGACACCGCUUUUUCACCCGUAAAUAAAGAAGCUUUAGAAGAUCUCACGAUGCAAGAUGGAAUAUAAAGAUCUUGGCUUAUGCUAAAUAUUAAAAAGUCAAAUCAAUCAGCAUACCUAGGGAACUUUCAGAUGAUAAUGAAGAAAUGAAACAUAAAGAUGAUAAUGUACUGAAGAAAUAAAGAAUAUGAACUAGAAAGGAAAGCAAUGACAAACCAAGACAAGAUCAUGCAAAAUAAAAAUAUUGUUUUUGCAAUACCAAAAAUAACAAUAGUGAAAGUAAUAGUCUUUCCAGCAAUAAAAUAUGGUUGCAAAAACCUCUUAAAAGCUAAAGAAAGAGUGGCAUGGACCAGAAGAGAAAAACAGGUGAAGAUCGGGAAACAGAAAUGGACCUAAUUUGGACAUGUGAUGGGCUAAAAUCAGUGGUGGGAUUCAACCAGUUCGCACCACAUCGGGAGAACCGGUUGUUAACUUUCUGAGCAGUUUGGCAAACUGGUUGUUGGAAGAAAUCAUUAGGGCAGACAACCGGUUGUUAAAUUACUUGAAUCCCACCACUGGCUAAAAUGGUGCUUGGCAAGGUUGAGGGAGGUAGAAGAAAGGGAACACUAUCGAUAAAAUGAAAGGACAGUAUCAAAGAGAUUUCCAGAUUCUUCUUAAAACAAAUAUAGGUUAUUGUUAGAGGCAGGUUGAUAUGGUGAACUUUUGUUGAUGCAGUCAUUUGGAUGAUACUAUCUUUCCAGUCCAAAGCAUUUUCUGGUUGAUCAUUUCACUCAUAGGUAUGGUAAUCACUUAUUUUCCUAAUCCAGGGGUGUCCAAACUUGGCAACUUUAAGACUUGUGGACUGGCUGAGGAAUUCUGGGAGUUGAAGUCCACAAGUCUUAAAGUUGCCAAGUUUGGACAUCCCUGUCCUAAUCGAUCAGUUGAUGGUAUAGUCCAGGGGUCUGCAAAGCUGGCUGAGGAGCUCCGGGAGUUGAAGUCCACAAGUCUUAAAAGAGCCAAGUUUGCAGACCCCUGGUAUAGUCCAUGCUUCAGUUUGCUAAUAGAACAGAAUUUUAUUGGCCAAGUGUGAUUGGACACACAAGGAAUUUGUCUUGGUGCAUAUGCUCUCAGUGUACAUAAAAGAAAAGAUACGUUCAUCAAGGUACAACAUUUACAACACAAUUGAUGGUCAAUAUAUCAAUAUAAAUCAUAAGGAUUGCCAGCAACAAGUUAUAGUCAUACAGUCAUAAGUGGAAAGAGAUUGGUGAUGGGAACUAUGAAACGAUUAAUAGUAGUGCAGAUUCAGUAAAUAGUCUGACAGUGUUGAGGGAAUUAUUUGUUUAGCAGAGUGAUGGCCUUCGGGAAAAAACUGUUCUUGUGUCUAGUUGUUCUGGUGUGCAGUGCUCUAUAGCGUCGUUUUGAGGGUAGGAGUUGAAACAGUUUAUGUCCAGGAUGCGAGGGAUCUGCAAAUAUUUUCACGGCCCUCUUCUUGAUUCGUGCAGUAUACAGGUCCUCAAUGGAAGGCAGGUUGGUAGCAAUUAUUUUUUCUGCAGUUCUAAUUAUCCUCUGAAGUCUGUGUUUUUCUUGUUGGGUUGCAGAACCGAACCAGACAGUUAUAGAGGUGCAAAUGACAGACUCAAUAAUUCCUAAUGUACUCCAUAUUUUAGUUUUUACACUACCAUCGGCACAGAUGUUUUCUAUAUAAUCAAUUCAUCCAUUGUCUAAGAACAUGGAGUUAAAAACAGAUUUAUUUGGGGAAGUCUGUUCAUUUGCACUUUUAUGCUGACAUUCAUAUGAUAUAGCAUUGUUUCCCGGAAUUAGAUUUAGCAAGAUGGUGUGGAUGUUGGAAUGCUUGCCUUGCCAUGCCAACCAAUCAGCAUUUGCCUUCAUUGUUUCAGCAUUGGCCAAUCAGAGACCACCUUUGGCAUUCAUCUGCAAAUACUGGUUUUCAUUGCAUCAGAACAUGUGCUGAUCAUGAACUAAUAAAAAUCCACGGUAGUCCCAUCUGCAUACAAUAUAGUUAAAUGAUUAGCUAGAAAUUCUCUUUCCAUUCUACUCAGUCCAUGUAGUUGUCUGGUACAAAAUCUAAUGCAUGUUAAAUGAAAGUUAGCUAGCCAGAUAUUUGGAAGAUGUUUAAUUUCAAGGCAAGGCAGAAAAUCAAAGAUUAGGACUCAAGGUGACAUGAAUGAAUCAGUCCAAUGGCUAUUUUUGCUGGGAAUGUCUUGUUGUGUUUGUCCUCCUUUGACCAGUUAGAAAAAGGAAACAACAGUCUACGCAUUGCUAGAUAACUAGAACAUUAUAGGACCCUGUUAUUCCAAGAUUUGUUGCAAUCCUCUCUCCUUAAUUUUAUCUCUGGAACAUAUUAACCCUGAUUGAAAGAUAUACAAUUUAAAUACUUUGUAAGGCUUUGCCCAGAAUUUGUUUUGUUUUGUGAGGAAUGUGGUUAAUUUUGUAUUCCUGUUGAAGUGAUGAGGUUGUUUUUGUGUGUAAAGCCCAGCACAGCUUAGUGCGAUGAUCCUGCAGCUUAAAUCUUGCCCCCAAAUAAUCUUCACUAUGCAGUAGUUCUGUCAAAAAAAAUUGGUAGCUGUCAGUGGGAGAACUACAGGUUGAAAAUUACAACAAUCCAUUUCUCUAUAUCAGUCAAUACUAUUGUCUUUUGAGAAAUAGCAUGUUGUAAAACCUGACUUAUUUGCUUUCAAAUGCCAACACCUGUAUAUCUGGUGGCUUUCAUUCACAUAUCCAGUGUUUUGAGAACGUGGAAUUAUGUUUAUUUGCACACAUACAGAUUGUCCUCGACUUACAUCAGUUCCCUUAGUUACUGUUCGAAGUCUUACAGCCAUUUUUCACCCUUCUGAUCACUGUAGUAUCCCCAUGGUCAGAUGAUCAAAAUUUGGAUGCUGAGCAACUGGUCCGUAUUUAUGACGGUUGUAGGGUCCCGGGGUCAUAUGAUCACCUUUUGCGACCUUCUGAGAAGCAGUGUCAAUGGGGAUGCCAGAUUCACUUUAAUAACCAUGUUACUAACUUAACAAUGGCAGUGAUUCACUUAAGAACCGUGGUCAGAAAGGUCGAAAAAUGGGGCAAAAUUCACUGAAAACUGUCUCACUUAGCAACAGAAAUUUUGGACUCAAUUGCGGGUGUAAGUUGAGGACUACCUGUACUUAUUACAUUAUUUAUCUGCUGCUUUUCAUUCAGAAACUCAAAGUCGGCCGCAGAACAUUGCCUCCCUCAAGACCUCUGUGAGGUAUAUUUGAGCGUUUAGAAAAGAAAAGGUCGCCCUGCUCAGAAGAGAGAUUUGUGAUGUGUCAUUAGCUUUCCUUUCUGGAUUUUCAUACUCAAUGUGUAUUUUCCUUUCUCUGCCUUCUGAUGGCAUCCUAGAUACCUCGAAUCAUCUUAACGCAUCCUUCCACUUCAGAUGAAGAUAUUGACCAGAUCACCCAAGACCUCGAUGACUCUGGGCUAGA